rnacentral:tRNA from 1 species
GUCAGGAUGGCCGAGCGGUCUAAGGCGCCAGACUCAAGGUUAAUAACCUCCCCCCAUAAUGUCGCGAGUGUUCUGGUCUCGAAUGGAGGCGUGGGUUCGAAUCCCACUUCUGACA